rnacentral:rRNA from 1 species
UUAAAAUUGAGAGUUUGAUCCUGGCUCAGGAUGAACGCUGGCGGCGUGCUUAACACAUGCAAGUCGAGCGAUGAAGUUUCCUUCGGGAAACGGAUUAUCGGCGGACGGGUGAGUAACACGUGGGUAACCUGCCUCAUAGAGUGGAAUAGCCUUCCGAAAGGAAGAUUAAUACCGCAUAAUGUUAAAAGAUGGCAUCAUCAUUCAACCAAAGGAGCAAUCCGCUAUGAGAUGGACCCGCGGCGCAUUAGCUAGUUGGUGGGGUAA